rnacentral:rRNA from 2 species
UGGGGAAUCUUCCGCAAUGGGCGAAAGCCUGACGGAGCAACGCCGCGUGAGUGAAGACGGCCUUCGGGUUGUAAAACUCUGUGAUUCGGGACGAAAGAUAAGUAGACGAAUAAUCUGCAUAAGUGACGGUACCGAAAAAGCAAGCCACGGCUAACUACGUGCCAGCAGCCGCGGUAAUACGUAGGUGGCAAGCGUUGUCCGGAAUUAUUGGGCGUAAAGCGCGCGCAGGCGGCUACUUAAGUCCAUCUUAAAAGUGCGGGGCUUAACCCCGUGAUGGGAUGGAAACUGAGAAGCUGGAGUGUCGGAGAGGAAAGUGGAAUUCCUAGUGUAGCGGUGAAAUGCGUAGAGAUUAGGAAGAACACCGGUGGCGAAGGCGACUUUCUGGACGACAACUGACGCUUAGGCGCGAAAGCGUGGGGAGCAAACAGG